rnacentral:rRNA from 1 species
CCUACGGGUGACUGCAGUGAGGAAUAUUGGUCAAUGGACGAGAGUCUGAACCAGCCAAGUCGCGUGAGGGAGGACGGCCCUACGGGUUGUAAACCUCUUUUGCCGGGGAGCAACGUGCGUCACGUGUGGCGCCCCUGAUAGUACCCGUAGAACAAGCAUCGUCUAACUACGUGCCAGCAGCCGCGGUAAUACGGGGGGUGCGAGCGUUAUCCGGAUUUAUUGGGUUUAAAGGGUGCGUAGGCGGAUUGUUAAGUCAGUGGUAAAAUUGAGGGGCUCAACCCCUUCCCGCCAUUGAAACUGGCGCUCUAGAGUGGAAGAGAAGUAUGCGGAAUGCGUGGUGUAGCGGUGAAAUGCAUAGAGAGCACGCAGAACCCCGAUUGCGAAGGCAGCAUGCCGGAUUCCGACUGACGCUGAAGCACGAAAGCGUGGGGAUCGAACAGGAUUAGAUACCCCAGUAGUC